UCGGCUUUUUGCCCUCUUGAAGAGUGGCUCUGUGUGUGCUCCUUUAGCCUGCAAAUCCCUCCCUUUCUCAUUUUUCUUCCUUACUGCAGCAUUUCUACAUCACUCGUGCCUGCCCAUCCCAGCCUACGAUUCCAGCACGGCUACUGCUGUCCUUGCUUCUUCCCAUCAUCAUGCUGGACAUAUUCAUUCUCAUGUUUUUUGCCAUUAUAGGGCUGGUCGUUUUAUCAUAUAUCAUCUACAUGCUGUAACAUGUCCGGCCACAACCCUACUGCUACCAACAGCCUGUGAAGGACAGCCAAGCCAGGAAGCAGGUUUUUUUCCCCCCCCUCCCUAUUUAAUGCAGUUGUUUUGCAGACAGGAGCAGCGUCUGUCCAUGGAUUAUUUCCAUGUUUACAUCUCAGCAGCAUGGUCUUCCAGAGCAUUCUGGAAAAAAGUUAACCCUUGCAAAACUCCCUGACAACGAGAAGAAUGAUUUAGCUAAAUGCUGAAGCUGUAUCCUAAGACUGAGUUGGAAGUGCAUGGGAAGAACAAGAGGCAAGGAAAAUGAAAAGAACAAAAGCAGAAAGUGAGAAUUCUAAUGGAAUGAUCCUAAGACAGUGGAGGGGAAGAAUCUGCUUUUUAAAGAAAAAAAGUUGUGUUUCUGCAUAUCUAGAUAUACAAUCUUCAUUGAUUUUAAGAAAAUGCAGGAUUCUGAAAGCAUCAGAUUGCAGAGAAAGGAGUUGGAAGAGCAAGAAGACUGUUGUGCCUCCUAAAUUACAUUUUAUGUUUGCCGUGCUAAAGUCUCAAGACAUAAAAGGCAACGAUGUAUAGAAAUUUCAGGUGUAGCUACAGAACAGUUUUCUGGAGGAAAUGCAAGGGAAGGAAAUGCUAUCUAGUAAUUACACAGUAUUUUCAAAAUGUCAUACUUAUCUCUCUGUGGAAGAUCGGGGCAUAUCUUAAAAUGCAGCCUCAUUCUAUAGAUCAGCAUGUUUUUUUUUUCCUUGCUUUUUUAAAAAACAAAACUUUCCAGAAAAUAAUUGGUUUAUAAUGAGUUAUUUUCUCUACUAAUAUCAUCAUGCUAAAUAUGUCACUGCAGAUGUAUCAAAAAGCAAAUUCUAGCAUAUUAAUAAUUUUCACUAUCAUGAUCAAACUAUAACAAUUAUAUAUGUAAUUUUAUAAUACUGUAAGUAAACCAAUUUUCUUUGUAACAAAAUAUUAAUUAUAUUUCCUAUAUGAAGCAAGGAAACUUGCCACAGGGAUAAAAUAAAAAUCUUUUAAAAAAUAAUAAUAAUAAAAAAAGAUGAACUGCU